UAGCAGUUUUUUAAUGUACCAACUUUAGUAUAUGUUAAGAUGUGUGUAUUCAGUCAUCCACAGUAAGCUUAAUGGCGAGGGUCCUGGCCUGGGAAGUACAAUUGUGGUUAAACAGAAGAAAUUCCUGUGCUUUCCUGAUUGUAGAAAAGUCACUGGUAGUAGAGCUCAUUUCAAAAUACAACAUACAGAAGAAGAGUUGGAAUGGAAUUGCCUUGUUUGGGUAUGUUAAGCCAAGACUAGACUUCACAUACUAUAUUCCUGAAGACAUCACACACCUUGACUGCUGGACAUAAAGAAAUUAAUCUCAAAACAGGUUUCAAGAUGUUUGCCUCAAGAGCAACAAGCAAGAUUGUGAGGGACCAUAACGAGUGAAAUUAUCCCAAAAUUUAAAAAGCCACUGAGUAGUCACCAUGCAGUCUAGCUUGGCAUGCG